rnacentral:tRNA from 1 species
GGCGGCAUAGCUCAGUUGGUUAGAGCGAGGGAUUCAUAACCCCUAGGUCACUGGUUCGAAUCCAGUUGCCGCCA